AGAGUUUGAUCCUGGCUCAGAACGAACGCUGGCGGCAUGCUUAACACAUGCAAGUCGAACGGACUUGUAGGGCUUGCUCUACAAGUUAGUGGCAGACGGGUGAGUAACGCGUGGGAAUGUACCUUUUGGUUCGGAAUAACUACGGGAAACUGUAGCUAAUACCGGAUAAGCCCGAGAGGGGAAAGAUUUAUUGCCAAAAG
rnacentral:rRNA from 1 species